rnacentral:misc_RNA from 1 species
UACGUAGGGUGCGAGCGUUAAUCGGAAUUACGGGGCGUAAAGCGUGCGCAGGCGGUUUUGUAAGUCAGAUGUGAAAUCCCCGGGCUUAACCUGGGAACUGCGUUUGAAACUACAAGGCUAGAGUGUAGCAGAGGGGCGUGGAAUUCCACGUGUAGCAGUGAAAUGCGUAGAGAUGUGGAGGACCACCGAUGGCGAAGGCCGCCCCCUGGGUUAACACUGACGCUCAGGCACGAAAGCGUGCGGAGCAAACAGG